rnacentral:rRNA from 1 species
AUUGAACGCUGGCGGCAGGCCUAACACAUGCAAGUCGAACGGUAACAGGAAACAGCUUGCUGUUUCGCUGACGAGUGGCGGACGGGUGAGUAAUGUCUGGGAAACUGCCUGAUGGAGGUGGAUAACUACUGGAAACGGUAGCUAAUACCGCAUAACGUCGCAAGACCAAAGAGGGGGACCUUCGGGCCUCUUGCCAUCGGAUGUGCCCAGAUGGGAUUAGCUUGUUGGUGGGGUAACGGCUCACCAAGGCGACGAUCCCUAGCUGGUCUGAGAGGAUGACCAGCCACACUGGAACUGAGACACGGUCCAGACUCCUACGGGAGGCAGCAGUGGGGAAUGUUGCACAAUGGGCGCAAGCCUGAUGCAGCCAUGCCGCGUGUAUGAAGAAGGCCUUCGGGUUGUAAAGUACUUUCAGCGGGGAGGAAGGGAGUAAAGUUAAUACCUUUACUCAUUGACGCUACCCGCAGAAGAAGCACCGGCUAACUCCGUGCCAGCAGCCGCAGUAA